AGCGAACGCUGGCGGCAGGCCUAACACAUGCAAGUCGAACGAAGUCUUCGGACUUAGUGGCGGACGGGUGAGUAACACGUGGGAACGUGCCUUUAGGUUCGGAAUAACUCAGGGAAACUUGUGCUAAUACCGCAUGUGCCCUUCGGGGGAAAGAUUUAUCGCCUUUAGAGCGGCCCGCUUCUGAUUAGCUAGUUGGUGGGGUAAUGGCCCACCAAGGCUACGAUCAGUAGCUGGUCUGAGAGGAUGACCAGCCACAUUGGGACUGAGACACGGCCCAAACUCCUACGGGAGGCAGCAGUGGGGAAUCUUGCGCAAUGGGCGAAAGCCUGACGCAGCCAUGCCGCGUGGAUGAUGAAGGUCUUAGGAUUGUAAAAUCCUUUCACCGGUGAAGAUAAUGACUGUAGCCGGAGAAGAAGCCCCGGCUAACUUCGUGCCAGCCGCCGCAGUAA
rnacentral:rRNA from 1 species